AGCUUUGCGCAGUGGCAGUAUCGUAGCCAAUGAGGUUUAUCCGAGGCGCGAUUAUUGCUAAUUGAAAACCUCCCUCCCAUCUUCUACCUCCAUCUACCCAGUCACCACCUUAAUUUCUUUUAUAUCUUUAUGGAU